rnacentral:misc_RNA from 1 species
GAUGAAGAACGCAGCGAAAUGCGAUAAGUAGUGUGAAUUGCAGAAUUCAGUGAAUCAUCGAAUCUUUGAACGCACAUUGCGCCCCUUGGUAUUCCAUGGGGCAUGCCUGUUCGAGCGUCAUUUUACCUUCAAGCUCUGCUUGGUGUUGGGUGUUUGUCUCGCCUCUGCGUGUAGACUCGCCUUAAAACAAUUGGCAGCCGGCGUAUUGAUUUCGGAGCGCAGUACAUCUCGCGCUUUGCACUCAUAACGACGACGUCCAAAAGUACAUUUUUACACUCUUGACCUCGGAUCAGGUAGGGAUACCCGCUGAACUUAAGCAUAUCAAUAAGCGGAGGA